GACGAACGCUGGCGGCGUGCCUAAUACAUGCAAGUCGAGCGGAGUCUUUCGGACAGAAGCUUUCGGGCGGACGACUGAAAGACUUAGCGGCGGACGGGUGAGUAACACGUGGGCAACCUGCCCGUAAGUCGGGGAUAACCAGUGGAAACAUUGGCUAAUACCGGAUGUGGUCUUCUUGCUGCAUGGCGAGGAGAAGAAAGAGGGAGCAAUCUCUCGCUUACGGAUGGGCCCGCGGCGCAUUAGCUGGUUGGUGAGGUAACGGCUCACCAAGGCGACGAUGCGUAGCCGACCUGAGAGGGUGAUCGGCCACACUGGGACUGAGACACGGCCCAGACUCCUACGGGAGGCAG
rnacentral:rRNA from 1 species